rnacentral:rRNA from 1 species
UACGUAGGGUGCAAGCGUUAUCCGGAAUUAUUGGGCGUAAAGAGCUCGUAGGCGGUUUGUCGCGUCUGCUGUGAAAACUGGGGGCUCAACCCCCAGCCUGCAGUGGGUACGGGCAGACUAGAGUGCGGUAGGGGAGAUUGGAAUUCCUGGUGUAGCGGUGGAAUGCGCAGAUAUCAGGAGGAACACCGGUGGCGAAGGCGGGUCUCUGGGCCGUUACUGACGCUGAGGAGCGAAAGCGUGGGGAGCGAACAGG